AGAGUUUGAUCCUGGCUCAGGAUGAACGCUGGCGGCGUGCUUAACACAUGCAAGUCGAACGGAAAGGCCAGUGCUUGCGCUGGUACUCGAGUGGCGAACGGGUGAGUAACACGUGGGUGAUCUGCCCUACACUUCGGGAUAAGCUUGGGAAACUGGGUCUAAUACCGGAUAGGACCAUUGGUUGGUGCCUUUGGUGGAAAGUUUUUUCGGUGUGGGAUGAGCUCGCGGCCUAUCAGCUUGUUGGUGGGGUAAUGGCCUACCAAGGCGUCGACGGGUAGCCGGCCUGAGAGGGUGUACGGCCACAUUGGGACUGAGAUACGGCCCAGACUCCUACGGGAGGCAGCAGUGGGGAAUAUUGCACAAUGGGCGCAAGCCUGAUGCAGCGACGCCGCGUGGGGGAUGACGGCCUUCGGGUUGUAAACUCCUUUCGCCAAAGACGAAUGUGGACGGUAUUUGGAGAAGAAGCACCGGCUAACUACGUGCCAGCAGCCGCGGUAAUACGUAGGGUGCGAGCGUUGUCCGGAAUUACUGGGCGUAAAGAGCUCGUAGGUGGUUUGUCGCGUCGUUUGUGGAAGUCCACGGCUUAACUGUGGGACUGCAGGCGAUACGGGCAUAACUUGAGUGCUGUAGGGGAGACUGGAAUUCCUGGUGUAGCGGUGAAAUGCGCAGAUAUCAGGAGGAACACCGAUGGCGAGGGCAGGUCUCUGGGCAGUAACUGACGCUGAGGAGCGAAAGCAUGGGGAGCGAACAGGAUUAGAUACCCUGUAGUCCAUGCCGUAAACGGUGGGCGCUAGGUGUGAGUCCCUUCCACGGGGUUCGUGCCGUACUAACGCAUUAAGCGCCCCGCCUGGGGGAGUACGGCCGCAAGGCUAAAAACUCAAAGGAAUUGACGG
rnacentral:rRNA from 1 species